rnacentral:rRNA from 1 species
GUAUCAUGGCUCAGGAUGAACGCUGGCGGCGUGCUUAACACAUGCAAGUCGAACGGGAAACUUUCAUUGAAGCUUCGGCUAGAUUUGGUCUGUUUCUAGUGGCGGACGGGUGAGUAACGCGUGGGUAACCUGCCUUAUACAGGGGGAUAACAACCAGGAAAUGGUUGCUAAUACCGCAUAAGCGCACAGGACCGCAUGGUCCGGUGUGAAAAACUCCGGUGGUAUAAGAUGGACCCGCGUUGGAUUAGCUAGUUGG